UCACACAAUUGGUGUUGAAUUUGGUAC
rnacentral:piRNA from 1 species